UCUUUAUACAUAUGUAUUUAUAUUGCUAUUUGUGGUUUAUUCUGCUUUUGUGAAGUGAAAUUGGUUCGUUCAGUUUUUGUUCCAUGUCGUAUCACUUCUAAUCAAAAACUUGUGGAUGAGAGAGGAUAAUAAAAAUGUAGUGAUGAGUGAUGUUUAAUCAAUUGUGUUUAUUAUUAAAUAAUUUCUGUUUAUCAUCCUAUUUUUUUAGUCUCUAUCUCUAUCUAUUAUUUCAUUAAAACUUCAAUGCUCCCUGUUUUUCCCACAAAAAGGAUAUACAUGCAUACCUAUACCUACUAUCCUUAAAAAGAAAGGACAAUGGAAUCCUUAAAAGUGAAAAAUGUGAAAAUUUAACUCAAACAAUCUCUCUUCUUCGAUGAACAAGUAUAAUAAGACCAAGACGACAUUUAUCAGCUUUUUUUAAAAUCUAACAAAUAUAAAAGAGUACAUUAUGUAUAUGAAAAAUGAGAAAAGAAAAUCCUUGAAAAAAUAGGAGAUCCUGUGAAAUAAAUUCUUUCCAGAUGGGAUCAGGUACAUGGAUGGUUUAAAGAAUUUGGAUAUCGUUGAUUGGAUAGAUAAAGGACUAUCAAGAAUAUAUAAGGCUCCUUGGAACAUCAUAAUGCACUCAGGACGUUUAGAAAGUGUACCUAUAUUCUUUAAAAGCCACUAGAAAGAACAACACAAAAGUUCCAAUUCAGAUAAAGGUUGCAUUUGUAUCUAUAUAACAACAGAAAAAGAUAAAACGGCCUUUAAAAUGACCCUGAAUUCAUAUACAACACCGAAAUUAUCAUCUUUCGUUAAAUAUCCAACGAAGAGUAUUAGAAUUGUUCUAGUUUUGGCAUCGAGUUGGUCGAGAAUUUUUGAAAGAAGAAAUUCCUGAAAGAUAGCAAAUCCGCUACCAAUACAGCAAAAAGACGACAAAAAUAUAAUACAACAACAGCAGAAAACAUACAUAAGAAAACUGAAUUAUGUAAAUAUAAUAUAAAACAAAAACAAAACAAAACACUUGACGAAAGAACCAAUACAAAAAUCGACAACAGAACAUAACACAAAAUACUUAGACCAUCGAAAUAAUUAAAGUAACUUAAAAGUUAAGAGGAUAACGAAGUAGUGAAUAAAACGUCACCAGCCAUUAUAAGUUAACACAUACAAACAUAAUUCAAGUAGUUACAUACUUUUUGAGUCAACUGAGAAAGUUCUGCAAAGCAACAUCCAGGAAAAUUCCAAAAUGGAGGACAUGCCAGAUUUGUCACAUCUUACGCCAAAUGAACGCAUGCAAAUUGAAAACGUCCUCAUGCGUCAAAAACAGGAAGAAGAGCAGCAAAAUGAGAUUAUGAGACGUAAACAAGAUGAAGUUGUGACACUUGAGAAUGCCAUCCGUCAGAGGUCGGAACAGCAGAAGAAAGCUGGCGUUGAGCUAGAUGCGACUUGUCAUAUAUGCCUUAAAACGAAGUUUGCCGAUGGUGUUGGACACAUAUGCCACUAUUGUAAUAUACGGUGCUGUGCUAGGUGUGGUGGAAAGGUGACGUUACGUAGUAACAAGGUCAUUUGGGUUUGUAUAUUGUGCCGAAAGAAGCAGGAGCUUCUGUCAAAGACAGGACAAUGGAUUAAUAAGACGCCAAAUCAGGAUGGUUUCAUACGAAGGAUCGAACCCGAUGGCAGUAGCGCCAUUGUCGAACCACAUGAUUCGACCGAUAAACGUCCGAAAUUGGAAAGGACGCGUAGUGCUGCAGAGAAGGAAAAUCUUCCAAUGCAGCGGACGGGUAGUGUUCUUAGACGACAAUAUUCACAGCAAGAACCCGGAAACAAUCGAAGAAUGUCUCAAUCGGAUAGCGGAGUAGAUGUUGUGAGCCCAGGCCAUAGACGUAUGCAGCCUCAGAACCAACAGCAGAUGUAUCAGCAACAACAACAAACACAACAGCAACAUCAACAUCAACAGCAACAUCAACAGCAACAUCAACAACAACAUCAGCAAUAUUCAGGAGGUGUAGAACAACGUGGGGGUACUCAGAGGGAAAGUGGCAUGUAUCCAGAAGAUGAUCCGAAGUUUUAUCAGGGUGAAAUUGAUGGGCUUAUGCGACAACAUCCCCACUUGGUGCAUCCACGUCAGCAACAAAUGAUCCAACAGCAGCAACAAAUGAUGCGUCCGCCACAUCCUCAAAAUGCCGAUCCUCAAUCGAUGCAGCAACAGCAUCAGCAUCCGCAACAAAUGAUGCAGCAACCACAUCAGCAUCCGCAACAAAUGAUGCAACAACGUCCACAACGACAACUGCAACCACACCAAAUACAACAUCACCAACAACUUCAACAACAACAAUUUCAACAGCAACAACAUCCCCAACUUCAACAACAACAGGCACAACAACAUCAACAACAACAACAUCAUCAACAACAACAGCAACAACAACAACAAGGGCAACAAGAACUACAACAACAGUCAUAUAAUCCACAAAACAUGACGUCUGGACAGCUUGCAUCGGCUCCAGGCCAAUUGCAGCAUCAUCAGUUGCCACAACCACCCCAAAACCAACAUCACUCACAGGAACAACCACAACACAAUCCCUCAGUCGGUCCUUAUAUGAGGCCAAUUGUAGGUGGAUCCGCUUCUGGGGUAAAUGCAGACAACGGUGGUCAACAAUACCAUCAACUCGGUGAUACGUUACAAAAGAAACACAAACGUCCACUUGGCAGUGGUCAAGAUUACGGAUCACCACAACAGCAAUCCUUUAGCAGUUCCGAAGAGGAAAUACAUGGAGUGCAUACGAUUCAUUCAGAGCACGAUUACGACGCAAACCAUGAAAAUUGGAACAAGCGCGAUUUCCGAUUGAACGCAAGAAAUCGUCUCCAUCACGCGGAACCGUUCAACAAUUCCCCCUCUGCAACACAGCCAGCACCAAAUUCCCGCUCCACAGCUAGAUUAGAUGUACAACAGCGCAACACUUUCAAUCGCACCAAUCACGAUCGAUAUAGUAGUGGAGGUCCGGCUUCCGCACAUCUUCCGCCGCUGCAGCCGCAGCGCUCUGUGAUUGCCGAGCGUGUCGCUGGCCAAUUAUUCCCCCAUCUGACAACAGCAGGUAUUAACUCUUCCCUCUACUCCACGCCGUCAUCCUACCAUCAUCAUAGCAGCAGUUUAACAGGAGUUGGAGCUGGAGUUGGAGGUGCUAACAUUACGGGUGUGACUAGUAUUAGCAACAGUUCAAACAGUACUUACCAUUACCCGCAAAUAGUGAUAGGUGAACCGACCAUUAGUACCUCAUAUGAGCGCUACACAUCACCUUCCUUGCACGCCCACCAUCAUCCGACACAAACUAUUAUUAACGAGACUACAGCACCUACGAAUCAUCCCUUCUGGGAUGAACACACCUCGACGUCCGCAUCUGCUCAGGACAAUCGACGUUUUACUGAGCGCAGAAAGAAAACUGUACGUUUUGAUGGGCAUAACGAUGAUGCCGAUGACGUGGAGGUGGUGGUCCAGCCAGCGAAUCUCAUUACGGUGGCUACUGCUGCUGUUGGUCCGCCCACAGCUGUAACGACGGUUUUGGGCAGCAGCAGUAUUGGUAGCAGCAACUUUGGUGGGGGCGGCAGUCUAGUUGGGGUUGAUGAUUGGUCACGUUGGGAUGCGGAACGACAGGGUAGUCAGGAUUCAGCAACCAAAGAUUCUGGCAUUGAUACAAGCAGUACAUUUACAAGUAGUGAAGAUUCCAAUCGAGGCGAUGGUCCAAAGAACCCUGUUAAUUGGCAAAUAUCAGCUGACAAUACUCGAAUGAUCGGUCAUAUGAUAUUAAGAAAAUACUAUGACGGCGAGGAUAUUCUAGGAUUAAAGGUUCUUGGUGGUCAGCCAUUAGUGGGAAGCGGAUAUGCUGCAGGAGCUGGAGGAAUCAAUGUUGUUAGUAAUAAUAAUGGAAAUGGUUAUGGUGCCAUUAUUGAUAAGGUUAAACGUGGGUCUGUUGCGGAUAUGGAAGGACACAUAAGGCCAGGCGACGAAGUCAUCGAAUGGAAUGGACAAACUUUGCAUAAUAAAACCGCCGAAGAAGUUUACGAUAUCAUUGCUGAAAGCCGUCGUGAUUCACAAGUGGAAUUAAUCAUAUCCAGAUCGCUCGGUUCUAAUUGUGGUCGAAAAACAGUGCAAGGUUCAUGGCGGCAAUCACAUUCUCCGCCUGCAAGAUUUGGUCGAAAAGGUGUUGAUAACAUCGAAAUUCAUCGCGAUAAGCCAAGUGUAUUAAUAACGUCACCCGGUUCACCUGACCUGCAUGCAGCAGGGCGCCAUCACCAAACAAACGCCAUCCCUCACCAUCAUCAGCACCAGCAACAACACCCACAUUCACACCACUCGCACCCCCACCACCAACAGCAACAGCAACAUCAGCAUCAACCAUUGUCAAGAGGAAUAGAAGUAGGGGUCGUGCCGAAUCCAACGGUAAAUUUACGUUACAAUCAGCGGUUGGGUCCUACGGCGACGGGUCACUGUCACCUCGACCCGACUAUUGAUGGACGCCUACAGCUGAAGCUAGGGUAUGACCAGAAUACGCUACAGCUGAUUGUUACGCUGGUGUGUGCCAGCGGGCUUACAUUGAGAGCCAAUGGCGCCGCCAGAAAUCCCUAUGCUAAAGUGUUCCUUUUACCCGAACGGGGUGCUAAGGCAAAACGCCGAACGAAAACCUUAGCAAGCACAUGUGAACCAAGGUGGGGCCAAACGUUUGUAUAUGCUGGACUGAGGAGAUGUGAUUUGACUGGGCGACUACUGGAGGUGACAUUAUGGGACUAUCUCCAGUUUGGUGCCAACGAAUUCCUGGGUGAAGUUCUCAUUGACAUAACCCAUCAUAUACUUGACGAUGAAGCAGAAUGGUAUCCUUUGCAGCCGCAUCAGGAUCCCGUGCAUAUCCUACGUAGAGAUGAUCUUACGAAUGAACAAAUGGACAUGAUCCUGACACCAACAGACCACUUAUCACCACCAAGUACCACAUCCCGUUUAAGUGACUCAGAUACAACAUCUGAAUGUGACAUCGAUGGAAUCGCAACUGGUCGUGAUGAAGCAAGUUUGUCUUCCUUAGGCAGUUCAUCAAGUCCACCUCCUGAGAUAGAUUUACAUGAACGUCGUUCACGGCGUGAUAUGUCACCGCAAGGUCGAAAAAGAGUGGCUGGUAUGGUAACACGUGACUAUCGAACAGUUUCUGGCAUUGGACAAAGUUAUCAUAAUCAGCAACAACAACCUCCAGCGGCCUUAUCCGCACAAUAUUCUCGUCGUAAUGGUGGUGGUGGCAUGAGCCUUGGUCAACGAAGUCAUUCGGCAGCACCAAGUGAUAAUUAUCAUAGUAGUUAUUACCGCAGCAACAGUCCGCGCCGUGGGUCAUUAUCACCACCAGACGAUCGUUACAUUGAUUAUCCAGUUCUUCCAAUUCAUUCGUCAUCGUAUAAUACUACGUCAUCAUCGUCACAACAACGUUUCCAAUCGCGUUCAGCAACUGCCACACCCACAGGAUCGCCCAAAAAGAGACAGCUGCCACAGGUACCACAAACAUCUCGCAACGCAAUGUUGCGUGAUCGCCUAGGCCAAGAGUUCGACGAACGUUUGCCUGGUGGUCGUUUUGGCCGUCAUAGAUCACGUCAACCACACCAUCAGGCAACAUACCGGAGCACCGGUAUGGGCGGAUGGGAGCGCCACUACACUGGCCUCUCAGAUAGUGAUCUACACUCGAUGGAAUCGAGAAUACGUCCACGGCAUUCCCUGUCGCCUGAUAAAGAUUUUAUGGGAGAGUUUGGUGAUUCCGAUAUGGAGUCAGUAGUAAGCGUUACCUCAAGUGCUUUUUCUACUCAAUCAGAACGUCCACGAGGUUCACGUGGAUUGAGUGAGUAUGAUGUACGAGAACGAGAUCGUGUGGCCAAAGUUCCAUCGAAUGAUGGUACUAAUGGUCGUGGAGGUGUAGGAGGUGGUGGCGGCGGCAGCAGUAGAAGCGAUGGAUCUCGCCGUGGCGGACAUACAGACGGUGGUGGACCUGGUGACAGUAGUAGUAGUAGUCGUAGUAAAGAGCGACAACUGCAGGAGGAUCGGAUCGAUCGUAUCGAAUCGGGAAGCGAUCGGGGUGAUGAUUUAAACAAUUCAUUUAGCAGAAGUUUAUCAAAUGCCGACGGAACGCCUGAAGACAAGAUCGAUGGCAGUCUAUCUGACACCGCAGUUGGUCUGCAGACCGCUGACUCUCAGCGACGAAAAACCACUGAACAACAACGAUCACCGAAAAGCGAUGCUGGUGGCCGAAGCAGCGGUCGUGGUGAAGAACGAUUUGGUUCGGGCAUGGGAAAGAAGAGCAAUUCCACAUCACAGCUGUCAGCGACGGGUCGUAAAAGACGUAUGGGCUUUGGAAAAAAGGGUAAGAACUCAUUUACGGUGCACAGAAGUGAAGAAGUUCUGCCGGGUGAGAUUCGGGGCACACUAUCUCGGGGUUCAUCAGCAUCCGAUGAUGGUGGCGAAGGAUUCACCGAAGGGGACAGAUGGUCACCUUCGUUACGUAUGAACGAUGGUCAGUUAUCUGAUUUCAUAGACGGACUUGGUCCUGGUCAAUUGGUUGGCCGUCAAGUCCUUGGUGCGCCCUCGCUUGGUGAUAUUCAACUUUCAAUGUGUCACCAGAAAGGUUUCCUUGAAGUGGAAGUCAUAAGAGCCCGAGGAUUACAACAAAAACCCGGUUCAAAAAUGUUACCUGCGCCGUAUGUAAAAGUAUACCUUGUUUCGGGUAAAAAGUGCAUAGACAAAUCGAAAACAUCGACAGCCCGACGUACCCUUGAUCCAUUAUAUCAGCAACAGCUUGUGUUUAAGGAGCCUUUUAGUGGUUGCAUACUCCAGGUGACCGUUUGGGGUGAUUAUGGACGGAUUGAGAAAAAGGUCUUUAUGGGAGUGGCACAAAUAAUGCUCGAUGACUUAAAUUUAUCAAACAUCGUGAUCGGCUGGUACAAACUCUUUGGAACAACGUCACUGGUCAGUUGUCCUACAAAUUUAAGUCUAUCUAGGCGCUCAUCACUAGCAUCACUUGAUUCACUUAAAUUAUAAAAUUACUUAACUAAAUAAAAACAAAAUCUAGAUAGCAUUUCAAUCACACUUAGAGUUAUAUCAUCGCGCCCUCUUGUGUGCAGAAAUACCAAACAAAACGAGAAAUUUACAUUCUAGAGUAGAAUUUUAAUAGACAAACAAAAUAUGAAAAAUACUAAACUAUCAAUUUAAUUUAUUUGAUUUAGUUUUUGUUUGUGUUUAUAUUUUUACCUGUUUUUUAAACAUGUUUACAUAUAGUAGAAUUUCAAAAUCUUACGUAGAAAAAUGCACCACAUCAUAACAAAAUAAAACAAAACCAAAAAAAUCAACUUUCAAUAAUUGGCCAAUUAAAAUUAUAUCAAACUAAAAACAAAGUAAUAACAAAAUAUUUGUGAUCUUGCUUCCGUUCGCUACAGUUAAACACUCAAAAACAAAAACAAAAGAUUUAUUCUAAAAAGUGAUCCUAUUGAAAAUACAAAAAUAUGACACAAAAAAAAUUAUUUUCAUAUAUACAUUUCAUACAUAAAAUAUAUAUAUUUACAAGAUUACUAAAAAACUAUAAUAUGAAAAAUCAAAAAGAAAAUUAUAUUAAUAAACUAAGAUUUUACCCGAAAGCUUAAGAUCUUUCUUCAGCUACUAAAAAUAAAGGUAUAUGCCUACAUGUUCAUGUUUUAAACUAAACUUAAAAAAAGUAUGGAAAAAGCUUUUACAUUACGGAAAAUCCGACUUCCUUAACGCACUUAUAAAACAAAACAAGCAAAAACAAAAACCAAAAACAAAAACUUUUAACUAUUCUAAUAAAACUUUCAUAAAUAUUACUCAUCGACCGGCUUAACAUUCAGCAUUUGUUUAUGGUAAUCCAAAGAGAAAUCAAAGACAUGGAUUAAUAUCUCGCAGGAUAAACUCUAAAUGCAAAUCUAAACAUUGCAUUUACGACAUGACAUGUUUUGCUCUACGAAAUACAAAAAUAUACAACAAAAUAACUUUUCAACUAAAAAUAUUUACUUAUUUCUUUUUUUACACAAAUAAAAAGAAAAGUGGAGUCAAAGUCUCAUUUUUGUGUAAAUAUCAACAAAAGAAACGCAUUUAUUCGCAUGGAAUUAUGGGAUUAUUAUGGGAGUCAAUACCAACAUCCAUAGAUACAUGCAGCCACAAAACUGCAUAAAAAGGGAAAAAAUUAACAUAUUUCUUAAAUAAUUUGUUUAAAGUAGAACUAUUUUUCAAUUUUUAUUGAUGAAAAACAAAAGAACAACAAAUUAUAAAAAACAAAACAGAGACCAGUACAAUACUAAUGUGUUUUGUUCUUAUUUUAUUUAUUUUAGGCAAUAAUUUCCAAAACAAAAAUAUUUGUAAAUAUAUAAAUUAUAAAUACUUAAAACAAUAAUUAUUUAUGUUACGAAAUAUAUAUAAAAGAAAUACCUGAUAUGCCUAUCAGUGUAUUAGUAGCCAAGUACCUACUAUUUGGGUAGACAAAAACCUAUAUAAUAAAACAAUGCGGAAGAGAACAGCAUCCAAGUAUACCUAAACAUUUAUUUAAAAUAUUUCUAGAAUUUAAAAUUAACAAACAUUAUUCUAAUUCUUUUUAAUACCAAAAUAAACAAACAAAAAUAAUAAUAAUUUUCAUUGACAUAAGUAAAACAUCGAGCCUUCCGACAAAAGUUUAAAUACAUUAAUAUGAUUAUUUAACAUUAAAACAUUUAACAAAAAUAAAUACAAAUUACUAUAAAUAAAAUGUUUUGUAAUACAAAACAAAUAAAAGUGCGACUGCCAGUCUGCAAGAAUGUUUUUAUACAAAAAAUCUAUACGUAUAAAGCUAUGUACUCCUUAAUUUUUUAAAUUUAAUUUUGUUUUUAUAAUUAAAGUAUUUCAUUAUCUUUCCAUAUUUCCUGAAAUAUCAAUUAAAUGUUUGUGAUUUUUCUAAUUUGAAAAGAAAAAUAUUAUCAGCCAAAGAGUAGUUCAGAGAAAAUUAAUUAUUUUUAUUAACAAAAAAUAGCAACAAAAAUUAAUAUAUUUGCAAAUUUUGAAAAGAGAUCAUACUCCUUCUGCCUCAAAAUGCAAACAAAAUUUAGCAUUGAUAAAUAAUUUCCCUUUCCUAAAACAAAAAGAAAACAAAAGCAAAACUUGUAUAAUUUUUAUAAUUAAAUUUAAGAAAACAAAAUUUAAUACAAGAAGAAAAACAAAAACUAAGAAAAUAAGUACCUAACAUAGAAUGAGCUGUAAAAAUGAUACCUGCUUGAGAUGAAACAUAAAACAUAUAUUAUAUGCAUGAAGAGAUAUAUUCCACUUUGCUGAUAACAAAAAUAAAAAAUAAUUUUAUUUUAAAAGAUACAAAAUUUCAAAACAAUUUUGUUUAGAUAGAAUGUUUAGAUUUUUAUGUUUUUGCGGAAAACAUCGUUUUUGGUUGAAAAUAUUUCGAAAACAUCAUUUCUUGUCAAAUUAUCCUUUUUUAAUUUUUUUUUAAAUCAUUCCAUUCUUCAAUUAUUACCGAUAGUAAUAAAUUUUGAAUUGUGAGUGGAGUUGAAUGAAAAGGAUAGUUGAUAAAUUGUUCUUUCUUUUUAUAUAAAACUACUCUAAUAUUUGUGUGGAGUAAAGUCAAUAUUAGAUAUUUUCUGCAUCAAUAAUUAUUCACUCAUAGUGUCGUUUUAUUUGGAAAAAUAAACAAUCAAUGAGGACUCAUUUCAAAAGUCAAUAUUUGAUGCUCAUGUUCUGCAUUUCACUUAUUGAGAAUACACUUUGUGGAAGUGAGUUUGGGUGUUCCACAGUUCGUUAUUUUAAAUUAGGUUUUCAAACAUGCAAAUCUAUAUUCUGUAUUUCCGUUCGUCCCAUUUUUUGAUCGCAUUCAAAUCACAUUUUUUAUUUGUAUGAAUUGAUCUUUGAUAGCUUCCUUCUGCUAAGAAUCGGCGGGUUGCAGCAAGUAAAAGGUUCUAUUUCCCUAAGAACAUAUACAAAAUCGUCUUUGCUUAAUUUAAAAUUAUUAUGAAAGCUUUAAAGGUGAAAUCAAGAAUUUACUUUAUUUAUCAGAACAAUUCUACAUAAUUUUCGCACACUUACAUUGUGUCAGGUAAAUCCAAUAUAUUUGAUUUGUUUGGCAAAAUUCGUCUUUUAUUUUUUCUCUUGAAUUGAUUUCACUUAAAAUUGUCAAUAAUAUUGCAUCCAUCUUCAAAACAGCAAACAUUUUACUUCAGAAACAGAAUAAAUAUGGAUUAUCCUUCAGUUCUGACAGUUCGAAGCAAUUUCGAAGUUUUCAAAAUCGAUCGAAUUGAAGAACAUGCAAUUUCAUUUCACGUAAAAUUGAAAGUGAUUUCAAUUCACUUACGAUCGAUAUUUGGAACAUGGUUGUAAACCGAGUUUACAUCUUCAUUUUUUGAGGUUAGGAAAUGUAGAUCAUGUUUCAACAUCGAACAUGAAAGCGUUAACGUCAUCCUAAGUAUAAAAAAUAUAUAUAAAGAGUGGUUCACGGCAAUAUUGACAGAAACAAAUAGUUUUGAAACAUCUAGCAUAGGACGUCCAUCUUGUUUUGUAGCACGAAGAAAGUCGAUGCAACAAAUUUGAGUGAACGCUUUGAAGAAAGUCUUCGUCUAUUUAUGCAAUUUUCGUUUUUAUUGCAUCCUUAAGUUCGUCUAGUGUUAAUGGUUUUGACUCGUAAGCCCGUGACUUCAUAUAACCCCAAAGGAAAAAUUCGCACACCUUCAAGUCAAGUGAUGCAGAAGUCCAAUUCAUAUCUCCAAAACGUAAAAUGAGUCGGACGAGGAACAUCUCGCGUACAACGUUCAUUGUGGCGACCCACUGUGAGGGGGUGCUUCAUCUGUUUGAAACCAGACAUUUAAAUAAGGAAGAGCAUCUCCUAAGUAAAACCGAAGUAGGUGAGGAUUCCGAUCCUGCUGAAUUUUGUAUUCAUGGGUAAAGCUUGGUGUCUUUAUUCUUUCCCACCAUGGUCUCGCUUUAUACAUUAGGAAUGAUGUUGCUUAUCAGCUCUAACCACAAUAUGGUCUUUGUACCAAUGCCUUUUUUAAUUAUGUGUGGUUAAAAUUCUCCGUAAAUAAGCAAAUCGUUCACUACUGCGUCCGUUAUCGAAACCCAAAUUUAGACAGAGUAUCAACUUCUCGUGAAUUUGAUGCUUUGUCUGAUUCCAUCCAAAGAAUUGUUUCGUCCUAUCCGCGCACUGAAAUCGUUGUUCAUGGCUUCGACAUUUAGGCCAUACAACACCCGAUGGAGUUUGUGCAGAAAUCUUCGCUAAGUUGAACUACUUAACUCAGCUGGUCAACGGGAUCACCCGAAUAUUGGACGUUGAAGGUCGAGCAGAAAACACUCUUGACUUGUUUCUUACCUCUGACCCUGAUAAGUACACUGUUAGUGUUCUAUCUCCUCUAGGCAUAUCUGACCUUGUGUCAUAUCAGCAAAUUUCUCGUGUCAAAACUGUUCAGUUAAAGGAAGAGUUCCUAAAAGAACCGUUUGGCAAUACGUGAAAGCCAAUUGGGACGGUCUCAAUAAUCGCUUCAGGAUCUUUAACUGGUCACUAUGCUUCCUCUAUAGUCACGUUGACGCCAGCGCUGAUAUCAUCACAAGUUUAAUUCUCCUGGGAAUGAGAACUUUUAUACCGAACAGGGUUGAAAGUAUCAGACCCAAUGAAAACGCUUUGUUUGAUGCGAGCUGUAAAGAGGUUAUUAGAGUCAAAAAGUUAAGUCUCCGUUGCUAUAAAGCCAACCGUUUGUGACGAAAUUCGGAAAAAGUUCAAACAAGCCAGGAAGGCCUGCAACGUCCAUAUUCAACGGACCAAAUUUUUAUAUGAACAAAAGUUACUGCAAAAAAUACUGCAAUGUGCCAAAGGCAGUACAAAUUUGUAAUCAUUUGUAAAAAACAUGGUUCUGACGCUCGUUGUCAAUGACACUCCUCUUGUUAGCUCUUUAAAGAAAGCCUAACUCUUUGCUAGUCAGUUCACCGCCAAUUCUACGCUGCCAGUCAGUGUUAUGGCUCCGCCUGUACUUGAACGAGUUAGUGAUUCUAUGGGACCAAUCUUAUUUCACACUCGUACUGUGGCAAGAGUCCUUGAAAAUCUAAACACACAUAAAUCCGCUGCUCUGGAUGGUAUCCUGCUAUUGUUCUGAAGAGGUGUUCUACAACGCUGGCAAAACCACAACGUUAGCUUUUUCAUCGGUCCUACUUCUCAGGUUUCGUUCCGAGCGAAUGGAAAACUGCAUUUGUACAGCCCAUCCCCAAAAAAGGCGAAUCUUCAUCACCCUCUAAUUACCGACCGAUUGCACUUACGUCCUUUCUUUCCAAGGCCAUGUAAACGCUGAUUAAUUAUCAGCUGAAGAAAUAUCUUGAAGAUCGAAAGCUUCUUAAUGACCGUCAAUACGGCUUUCGAAGCAAUAGGUCCACUGGUGAUCUCAUGGUUCAUCUCACCAAAAAGUGCAACAAAUCUUUACAUCGCUUUGGAGAAAGUAAGAUUACUGCACUCGAUACUUCAAAAGCAUUUGAUAGGGUUUGGCAUCAGGCUCUCUUAUCGAAAAUGCGUGCUUUCGGUUUUCAUGAGUCUCUGCUUCAUUGGAUUAGUAAUUUAUUUUCGGAUCGUUCAAUACAAGUAGUUUUGGAUGGAAGUCUAAAACCAUAAAAUUAAUGUUAGUGUACCACAGGGCUAUGUUCUAUCUCCAACACUCUUUCUCAUUUUUAUUUAGGAUCUCCUAUUUGUAAUCCAAUACAUUGUUUCGCUGACAAUAGUACUCUUAGCUUUUCAUAUUCGUUUUCAGACUCACAUCCCUAUUCUUCGGAUGUGGAACUGCAACGACAAAAUAUGAUAAGCUCAUUUAAUUCCGACCAAAACAGCAUUGUUCAAUGGGAAUUAAAAAACCGCGUGCAAUUUAAUGCUUCGAAAACGUAGUUCUGUCUUGUAUCGUUAAAGCGAAAUAUACCAUCCUUGCCAUUAUUCAUAAAUGGCACUUGCAUCAAUGAGACUGAACACCUCGAUAUUCUCGGUAUGUGUGUCACCAACCACCUCUUGUGGAAUGAUCACAUACGAGAUGUUGCCAAAAAUGCCGCAAAUCACCCCUUCUGAUCUGGCUGUUAUCUACAAGACUUAUAUACGUCCAAGGCUUGAGUAUAACUCCCAUCUCUGGGCUGGUGUUCCUUUAACUUACGUAAGCCUCUUGGAUAGUUUUGAACGUAGAGCUUUAAAAUGAUAAUAUUAUCUCUUGUCUGUCCCUUUUUUAUCGUUAUUUUAACGGUUUAUGGUCUAGUGAAGUAGCCAGCUACAUUCCUCCCCUUAAACAGUUCAACCGUAAUACUCGCGCUUCUAGGAAUGCUCAUCAGUAUACCUUCGAGUCCAACCUCGGCCGUACUGUCAAAUACAGAGAUUUGUUCUUUAGCCGUACUACGUGAAUGUGGAAUGCCUUACCACACUCUGUCUUUCCUAGUCAUUGCAAUAUUCAGGAAUUCAAAAACAAUGUGCAUCGACAUCUCCUUUUAAACCCUCUCUACUCUUUCAAGUGCUCAAACUGUGUCUCAGCACAAUAAGCGUAGUAAUAUUCCUUUUUGAGUGUGUGCUUAUUAUACAAAAAUAAAACACAAUUUCUGAAAGUUGGUGAUAAUCAGUAAAUUUUAACUUUUGAACAAUUGUGUCAUCUUAUAAGGAUGAUAGUUUAACUCAAGCUUGACGAUGCUUUGAAACUAAGAACUAUUAACUUGUAAACCCUGAGCUUAUUUGAUCAACGAGCUUUGGAGAACAGCGCCUCUUACCCUUUCUGUAUUUUCGGGAGUUGUAACAAUACGUACGAGUCCAGGUUGUUUUUUUACUUUUUCCGAAAGCUGUGAUCCAUCUCAUAAUUGCUUUUCGAUAGGCAACCGUACCGUGAGGGCCAUUUUAACAUUAAUUCUGAACUUUUACUACCGAUUAGUUUGUAGUACGCGCACACACGGUUUAGGACACUCCAUUGUGGAAUAAAAUGGCAUUAUCUAAUGGAUCGAAUAAGAUCUUUCCGACUUACUCUCACUCAGCCUUCGUCCAGAAAAACUCAUCUAUUUUUAGCAACCCUGUAUUUUUAAAUGUUUUCGUAUCGGAAAAAAUUCAUUAAUCGUACAUUGUUCUUAAUUUCAACUUUUUUAACUACUUGAAGAGGGUUCUAUUGACUUCAAACAAAUAACUGUUUUAAGGAUCAAAACUAUUAUAAUUUUUUCUGAAUUUUGUUUUCGAAAUAUCUUUCAAACAAAACAAAUUUUGUCUUUUUCUUAAACAAAAACAAAGCUCAUGAUUUUAAACUAUGAACAAAUUAACAAAAAACCAAAAAUAUUAAUAUAUAA